CCUAGCCACCGUGCUUCUACACCUGCAUUGCUUGCUGUUUGGGGUUUUAGGCUGGGUUUCUGUACAGCACUUUGAGAUAUCAGCUGAUGUACGAAGGGCUAUAUAAAUAAAUUUGAUUUGACAGUUUAAGACACAUUUUAUUUGCCUUAAUUACUCAAAUAUAGACCCAGCUUUCAUUUGACAUACUCCUAUGAACUUCACGUUGGUGCUUGUGGCUCCUUUUACCUAAUGUGAAAAGGCUACUUCUAGGCAGGAAGCCUUGUUCUAUAGUAAGUGAACAGGGCCAGGACUUGGAAGGCUAGGUCCUGACUGACAAGUAUUACAUCACUUUGGGUCCAAGGCUGCAGUGGCCUAGUUUCACAGUACUGUCAAGGGGUUAACACCUAGUGACGUUCCACACACACACACACUCAACACAGACACACACCAGAACGUGACCAUGUCCAACAGACAGGAAUAACAGCAGGUGACCAUGUCCGACGGACAGGAAUAACAGCAGGUGACCAUGUCCGACGGACAGGAAUAACAGCAGGUGACCAUGUCCGACGGACAGGAAUAACAGCAAGUGACCAUGUCCGACGGACAGGAAUAACAGAAAGUGACCAUGUCCGGCAGACAGGAAUAACAGCAGGUGACCAUGUCCGACGGACAGGAAUAACAGCAGGUGACCAUGUCCGACGGACAGGAAUAACAGCAGGUGACCAUGUCCGACAGACAGAUGGACAGGAAUAACAGCAGGUGAUAAUGCCUGCAAAAAUGCUGCUCUGGUCUUCUACUCCCCCUCAUCCACUUCUUAAAACACUAGGUUCCACGAAGACAAGGAAAUAACAUAUAGGUGGUUGAAUGGACAUAUACGUAGGUACAUGUCAACAUUAUCAUAUAGGUGGUUGAACGGAGUUCUACCUGUGUGUACAUGUUCAUAUGCAAGUUUGUCAGUGUGCACCUGUGUACAGAAUGUGUGUGUGCGCGCGUAUACACAGUACGCAUGUCUAGUGUGUGCAUAUUCCUACCUCCCAGGUCCUUCUCCUCCUCCUCCAGCUCCUCUUUAAGUUCCUGUAGUUUGCCCAGAGGGUGCAGAGCGGGCACCGUCACCCCUGGGAUCUGGGGCAGGCAGCAUGGAGGAGUCCGGGCAAUGGGAGAGUUCCGACAGUCCAGCAGGAACUUCCUGUCGUAGAUGAUGCGUGUUCCUGUCGGGGGG
ensembl:lncRNA